rnacentral:rRNA from 1 species
AGAGUUUGAUCCUGGCUCAGGACGAACGCUGGCGGCGUGCUUAAUACAUGCAAGUCGAGCGAGGUUACUGUUUUGGAUCCCUUCGGGGUGAAGAAGCUUUAACCUAGCGGCGGACGGGUGAGUAACGCGUGGGUAACCUACCCCAAAGUCCGGGAUAACAGCGGGAAACCGCUGCUAAUACCGGAUGUCUUUACCUUGGGGCAUCUUGAGGUAAAGAAAGGCAACGCUUUGGGAUGGGCCCACGUCCCAUUAGCUAGUUGGUGAGGUAACGGCUCACCAAAGCGACGAUGGGUAGCCGGCCUGAGAGGGUGGACGGCCACACUGGGACUGAGACACGGCCCAGACUCCUACGGGAGGCAGCAGUAGGGAAUAUUGCGCAAUGGACGGAAGUCUGACGCAGCGACGCCGCGUGAGCGAUGAAGGUCUUCGGAUCGUAAAGCUCUGUCCUUGGGGAAGAAGGCGAAAGCUUGACGGUACCCAAGAAGAAAGCCCCGGCUAACUACGUGCCAGCAGCCGCGGUAAU